rnacentral:rRNA from 1 species
GAUGAACGCUAGCGGCAGGCUUAAUACAUGCAAGUCGUGGGGCAGCAUGACUGUAGCGAUACAGUUGAUGGCGACCGGCAAACGGGUGCGGAACACGUACACAACCUUCCUUUAAGUGGGGAAUAGCCCAGAGAAAUUUGGAUUAAUACCCCGUAACAUAUAGAAGCGGCAUCGCUUUUAUAUUAUAGCAGCAAUGCGCUUGAAGAUGGGUGUGCGGCUGAUUAGAUAGUUGGGGGGGUAACGGCCCACCAAGUCGACGAUCAGUAACUGGUGUGAGAGCACGACCAGUCACACGGGCACUGAGACACGGGCCCGACUCCUACGGGAGGCAGCAGUAAGGAAUAUUGGUCAAUGGACGCAAGUCUGAACCAGCCAUGCCGCGUGGAGGAUGAAGGUCCUCUGGAUUGUAAACUUCUUUUAUUUGGGAAGAAAUCUAUCUUUUCUUGGAUAGUUGACGGUACCAGAUGAAUAAGCACCGGCUAACUCCGUGCCAGCCGCCGCCGUAAAAC